rnacentral:tRNA from 1 species
GCCUCCUUGGCUUAGUGGCUAUAGCACGGCAUUGGUAAUGCCGAGAUCCCGGGUUCAACUCCCGGAGGAGGCU